UACGGGGGGGGCAAGCGUUGUUCGGAAUUACUGGGCGUAAAGGGCGCGUAGGCGGCCUUCUAAGUCGGACGUGAAAUCCCCGGGCUCAACCCGGGAACUGCGUCCGAUACUGGAAGGCUUGAAUCCGGGAGAGGGAUGCGGAAUUCCAGGUGUAGCGGUGAAAUGCGUAGAUAUCUGGAGGAACACCGGUGGCGAAGGCGGCAUCCUGGACCGGCAUUGACGCUGAGGCGCGAAAGCCAGGGGAGCAAACGGG
rnacentral:rRNA from 1 species